UCCAAGCACCAUCUAAAUUCACACGGAGG
rnacentral:piRNA from 1 species